rnacentral:rRNA from 1 species
UGGGGAAUAUUGGGCAAUGGGCGGAAGCCUGACCCAGCGACGCCGCGUGGGGGAAGAAGUCUUUCGGGAUGUAAACCCUUGUUGUACGGGACGAAGGAAGUGACGGUACCGUACGAGGAAGCCCCGGCAAACUACGUGCCAGCAGCCGCGGUAAUACGUAGGGGGCGAGCGUUGUCCGGAAUUACUGGGCUUAAAGGGCGCGUAGGCGGUGGUGUAAGUCUGGGGUGGAAUGCUACAGCUCAACUGUAGAGCUGCCUUGGAAACUGCAUUACUUGAGUCGGUGAGGGGAAGGCGGAAUUCCUGGUGUAGCGGUGAAAUGCGUAGAUAUCAGGAGGAAGGUCUGUGGCGAAGGCGGCCUUCUGGCACUUGACUGACGCUGAGGCGCGAAAGCGUGGGGAGCAAACAG